rnacentral:lncRNA from 1 species
AGAAGGCUCGCGGCGGGCGGGGCUGAGGUGGCUAACAAGGUCCUCGAACAGCCUCGCCUGUUGGUCUGGGCGUGUGGGCGUGUUCUCCACCCCUUACAGGGAGUGUGGGACCCGCGGGCCAGUCUCGCCCUUGUUCCGGGCCGGAUCUCGAGUGGGCGCUCAGCCCGGCGGUGGAGAGACAGUUUACUUUGUUCAGCAAAUAUUUAAUCGAUGCCGACUUUUAAUUGGAGAUUGUCUCGGCUGGCAGGAGCCUCUAGACUGCCUGUGUCCUGUUUCUUCCCCUGAAAAUAAGAAACCCCAGUUUCAGACAGUUAAGAGAGGUCUAAGGUCAAAAUAAUCAUAAUUUCUUGAGUGCUUCCUACUGGCCAGACAGUGUGCUAAGCACUUUUAAAGGCAUUAUCUCAUCGGUUAAAACAUAGUUUUCCCGACUUAAAGUUUACAGCACACUGGGGCGGAAGCGGGGGAUAGUAAACCGCUUCUCUACUCCCUUUCUCCGUUUAUUGACUCACACUCUGUUCUUUGGAUCACUUCCUUCGGAAAAAGUUCCUCGUAGUGUGUCUUGACUUUUUUAAAAGUUGUAUGUUAAAAGUAGUUAAACACGCUGACAGAUACUGAAGAAUGAAGAAAAUUGUAAGAAUGUGAAGUCUGCCUUUAGAAUGCGGCAGGAAACCUAAACAAAACUUAAAUGCUUUGUUUUGAUCACAUUAUCACAGUCGUUGGUCUUCAGAGGUCAAUUGUGAACGGCUUUGGCUUGUGUUUGCAGCUUUUCUUCAGUUGCCGCCUCCACCCUUAGUUUAAUAACAAUGAUCCAGUCCUGUUACACCUGAGUGUGGACUCAUGCCAUGACUGACUUGCUUCUACCCUUUAGCUUUUCUAGUGCCAUAUUCUCCGCCUGCCAUAUCUGAUUCUUUUCUUAAAUCCCAUACUCUCUCAUUCAGGAAACCUCUUCCCAACAAUUCCACAAAGAUCUAAUUAUUCUGCAUAUUCUAGCACUACGUGAUCAAUAGUUCUCAAUAGGUGUUUGCACUUUUUUUUAAAUUGCUUUUUUCUCUAAGAAUUAUUUUUCGUUUGUUUUUGUCUGUUUACUUGAUUUAAGGACACUUCAUUUUUGCUUCCCAUGUCUAGUACACUGACACAGUGGACACUCAAUACUUGGUUUGUUGAAAGUUAAGUAGACUAUAAGUUCUACUUAAAACCACGUAGCUAUUUAUUCGUAGCAAAAAACGUAUUUGUGUUAAAAGUUUGCUGGCUAACUAUAAGUCGAGUAUUUUUCUAGCUAUACAGACCUAGUCAAAGGAUGUGAUUGUUUGCUAACAUAAUUGUCAAGUAAUAUAUAUUAUCUGUGUAAUGCUCAUCUAAAUAUCAUUGCUCUUUCUGACCAGUCUGAACUUGUUGCCGGAGGGUUAAAAAUCAUGACUACUUCACGUGUAGCAGUUUUCACUUGCAUUCAAUGCUUUGUAAAAUAGAUUCCAACUAGUCAGUUUCUAUAAGGCGAACCCUUCAAAUAUACUCCUUGAAAAGAACAGUUCACCGGACAUUAUGAAGUUAGCACUAAUGUUUGUGGGGCAGGAAAAGCUGUUGUAGUGUGGAACAAUGAAUUAAGAAUCAGAAAGCCUGAUGUCGGGUUCUAGCUGUAGCAUAAAUGCACUUGACCUUGAUCGCUGCUCUCUAAUCUCUGGUCCUUAGUUUACUUUAGAAUGCGUGAGUUGGAGGAUCUCCAGUAUCUCUUCCAGGAUGAAAAAGUAAAGGAUUCUGGUGAGGCCUCAUGGUUGCAAAACAUGAGAGUGAAUAUACUUAGAUAUAUAGAGAAGUUCAUAGUGGAUAGAUAUACUUGGAUUUUUAAAUUCUAUUGCCUUACUCAAUGUCUUACCUUUUUCAUUCAAUAAAUAUUGAAUAUAUCUACUAUAUGGCAGGCACGAAUUUAGAUAUUUGGAUGUUUAAUAGGCCUCUUAAGUAUCAAACAACAUUCAGUUCAUACACACACAUACACACUACACAGCAUAUACACACGCUUAAAUCUGCUUGUCCUGUAGUCAUCACCAUUCCAAUAAAUGACAGCUCUUCUAAAUGCUCAGACCAAAAACCUUAGGAUAAUCCCUACUCCUCACUUUCUUUCACCCACCAAAUCCAAUCUUUAAGCAGGUCGUGCUGGCUCUACAUUCAAAAUAUGUCUAAUUACUUCCCAGCACCUCCACUGCUACGACUCUAAUUCAAGUUGCCAUCUUCUCUUGUCUAGAUUACAGUGGUACUCUUUUAAUGAGCUAUUCCACUUUGCUGCUUUACAGUCUCUUGUGUACAUGGCAACCAGAUGAUCUUUUGUGUAAGUCACAUCAGGUUACUCUCCUGCUCAGAAUCCUCAGAAGCAACUGGCUUCCCAACAUACUUCAAAGUCUUUUCCCUGGACUAUAGGGCUCUGGAUACUCGGCAACUUCUGCAAGUAUCUCAUUAACUAACACCUUCCCCAUCACUCUACCACACUGGCCUUCCUGAUUUUCUUCAAACAAGCCAAGCAUGUUUCUACUUUAGGAACUUUGCACUUGCUUUUCUGUCUAGGAUCUGGUUGUCAUUCACGUUAUCACAUGACUGACUCCCUCACUUCAUUCAGGUCUCUGCCCAAAUAGCACCUAAAUUCACUAUCCUCAUUAUGAUUCUCCAUAAAAUAGCAUCUGUGUCAUUCCCCAUCCUCUUAAUCCUGUUUCAUUUUUUCUCAGACACAUCUCUCUCUCUUUCUUUCCUUCCUUCCUUUUCUUUCUUUUUUUCUUCACUGCCUGUCUCUCACCAGUAGAGUGUGAACUGCAGGAGAACAGAGUUCACUGUUAUAUCUCCAGUGCUUAAAACAGUGCCUACAACAGUGCCUAGUACAUGCAUCCCUCCUCCAGAUGUGCCUCCCUUUGAUCUAUCAAACGGCCCCUUCUUCACUGUCUUGGUACAAUACAAUUUUACAAAGGAGUCC